rnacentral:rRNA from 1 species
UGGCUCAGGACGAACGCUGGCGGCGUGCUUAACACAUGCAAGUGGAGCGACGAACCGGGGCUUGCCCCGGGGCAGAGCCGCGAACGGGUGAGUAACACGUGGGUAACCUGCCUCAAUGAUUGGGACAACCCGGGGAAACUCGGGCUAAUACCAAAUGUGUUCACUCCUUCUAAGGGGAGUGAGGAAAGGAAGCUUCGGCCUCCGCAUUGAGAUGGGCCCGCGGCCCAUUAGCUUGUUGGUGAGGUAACGGCUCACCAAGGCUUCGAUGGGUAGCUGGUCUGAGAGGACGAUCAGCCACACUGGGACUGAGACACGGCCCAGACUCCUACGGGAGGCAGCAGUGGGGAAUCUUGCACAAUGCGCGAAAGCGUGAUGCAGCAACGCCGCGUGGGGAAGACGGCCUUCGGGUUGUAAACCCCUUUCAGUUGGGACGAAGCUUCGUCGGUGAAUAGCCGGUUGGAGUGACGGUACCUUCAGAAGAAGCCCCGGCUAACUACGUG